rnacentral:rRNA from 1 species
UACAGAGGUCCCAAGCGUUGUUCGGAUUCACUGGGCGUAAAGGGUGCGUAGGUGGUGAGGUAAGUCGGAUGUGAAAUCUCCGAGCUCAACUCGGAAACUGCAUUGGAAACUACCUUGCUCGAGGGUUGGAGGGGGGACUGGAAUGCUUGGUGUAGCAGUGAAAUGCGUAGAUAUCAAGCGGAACACCAGUGGCGAAGGCGAGUCCCUGGACAACUCCUGACACUGAUGCAUGAAAGCUAGGGGAGCAAACAGG